AGAGUUUGAUCCUGGCUCAGGACGAACGCUGGCGGCGUGCCUAACACAUGCAAGUCGAACGAGAAUCUUUGAACAGAUCUUUUCGGAGUGACGUUCAAAGAGGAAAGUGGCGGACGGGCGAGUAACGCGUGAGUAACCUGCCCAUAAGAGGGGGAUAAUCCAUGGAAACGUGGACUAAUACCGCAUAUUGUAGUUAAGUUGCAUGACUUGAUUAUGAAAGAUUUAUCGCUUAUGGAUGGACUCGCGUCAGAUUAGAUAGUUGGUGAGGUAACGGCUCACCAAGUCAACGAUCUGUAGCCGAACUGAGAGGUUGAUCGGCCGCAUUGGGACUGAGACACGGCCCAGACUCCUACGGGAGGCAGCAGUGGGGAAUAUUGCGCAAUGGGGGCAACCCUGACGCAGCAACGCCGCGUGCAGGAAGAAGGUCUUCGGAUUGUAAACUGUUGUCGCAAGGGAAGAAGACAGUGACGGUACCUUGUGAGAAAGUCACGGCUAACUACGUGCCAGCAGCCGCGGUAAUACGUAGGUGACAAGCGUUGUCCGGAUUUACUGGGUGUAAAGGGCGCGUAGGCGGACUGUCAAGUCAGUCGUGAAAUACCGGGGCUUAACCCCGGGGCUGCGAUUGAAACUGACAGCCUUGAGUAUCGGAGAGGAAAGCGGAAUUCCUAGUGUAGCGGUGAAAUGCGUAGAUAUUAGGAGGAACACCAGUGGCGAAGGCGGCUUUCUGGACGACAACUGACGCUGAGGCGCGAAAGUGUGGGGAGCAAACAGGAUUAGAUACCCUGGUAGUCCACACCGUAAACGAUGGAUACUAGGUGUAGGAGGUAUCGACCCCUUCUGUGCCGCAGUUAACACAAUAAGUAUCCCACCUGGGGAGUACGACCGCAAGGUUGAAACUCAAAGGAAUUGACGGGGGCCCGCAC
rnacentral:rRNA from 1 species